UCGUUAACGAACGAGACCUUGACCUGCUAAAUAGCCCAACUCACUUUUGUGGGUUGCUGGCUUCUUAGAGGGACUUUUGGCUCAAGCCAAUGGAAGUACGAGGCAAAAACAGGUCUGUGAUACCCUUAGAUGUUCUGGGCCGCACGCGCGCUACACUGACAAAUUCAUCGAGUUUACAACCUUGACUGACAGGUCUGGGUAAUCUUUUUAACAUUUGUCGUGCUGGGGAUAGAUUAUUGUAAUUAUUAAUCUUCAACGAGGAAUUCCUAGUAAACGCAAGUCAUCAACUUGCAUUGAUUACGUCCCUGCCCUUUGUACACACCGCCCGUCGCUAAUACCGAUUGAAUGGCUAU
rnacentral:rRNA from 1 species